UACAGAGGGUGCGAGCGUUGUCCGGAAUCACUGGGCGUAAAGGGCGCGUAGGCGGCCGAUCAAGUCAGAUGUGAAAGUCCUGGGCUUAACCUGGGGACUGCAUUUGAUACUGAUUGGCUUGAAUUCGGGAGAGGAUAGCGGAAUUCCCAGUGUAGAGGUGAAAUUCGUAGAUAUUGGGAAGAACACCGGUGGCGAAGGCGGCUAUCUGGACCGACAUUGACGCUGAGGCGCGAAAGCGUGGGGAGCAAACAGG
rnacentral:rRNA from 1 species